AUCAACUUUCGAUGGUAGGAUAGAGGCCUACCAUGGUGGUAACGGGUAACGGGGUGUUAGGGCACGACACCGGAGAGGGAGCCUGAGAAACGGCUACCACAUCCAAGGAUGGCAGCAGGCGCGCAAAUUACCCAAUCCCGACACGGGGAGGUAGUGACAAUAAAUAACAAUACGGGGUUCUUUAGGAUCUCGUAAUUGGAAUGAGUACAAUUUAAAUCUCUUAACGAGGAACAAUUGGAGGGCAAGUCUGGUGCCAGCAGCCGCGGUAAUUCCAGCUCCAAUAGCGUAUAUUAAAGUUGUUGCAGUUAAAAAGCUCGUAGUUGAACUUCGGGGUUUACCCAUUGGUCAGGCUUAAUUGUCUGCACUGGUGAGAUAAAUCUCUACCUUCUGAGGAACUUUCAUGCCAUUUAUUUGGUGUGAUGGGAAAUCAGGACUGUUACUUUGAAAAAAUUAGAGUGUUUAAAGCAGGCUAACGUCUGAAUACAUUAGCAUGGAAUAAUGAAAUAGGACGGACUGAUUCUAUUUCGUUGGUUUCUAGGAUCACCGUAAUGAUUAAUAGGGAUAGUUGGGGGCAUUAGUAUUCAAUUGUCAGAGGUGAAAUUCUUGGAUUUAUUGAAGACUAACUACUGCGAAAGCAUUUGCCAAGGAUGUUUUCAUUAAUCAAGAACGAAAGUUAGGGGAUCGAAGACGAUCAGAUACCGUCGUAGUCUUAACCAUAAACUAUGCCGACUAGGGAUCGGACGAUGUUAAUUUUAUAAUGACGCGUUCGGCACCUUACGGGAAACCAAAGUGUUUGGGUUC
rnacentral:rRNA from 1 species